GGACUACUGGGGUAUCUAAUCCCGUUCGCUCCCCCAGCUUUCGCACCUCAGCGUCAAGAAUGCCCCAGGAAGCCGCCUUCGCCACUGGUGUUCCUACCGAUAUCUACGCAUUUCACCGCUACACCGGUAAUUCCACUUCCCCCUAGCAUCUUCAAGACUGGUAGUAUCCACCGACCCUCCGGAGUUGAGCUCCGGGCUUUCACAGCGGACUUACCAACCCACCUACGCGCGCUUUACGCCCAGUAACUUCGGACAACGCUCGCCCCCUCCGUAUUACCGCGGCGGCUGGCAC
rnacentral:rRNA from 1 species